UACGUAGGUGGCAAGCGUUGUCCGGAUUUAUUGGGUUUAAAGGGUGCGUAGGCGGCCCUGUAAGUCAGUGCUGAAAUAUCCCGGCUUAACCGGGAGGGUGGCAUUGAUACUGCGGGGCUAGAGUACAGAUGAGGUAGGCGGAAUUGACGGUGUAGCGGUGAAAUGCUUAGAUAUCUGGAGGAACACCGGUGGCGAAGGCGGCGUUCUGGACUGCAACUGACACUGAGGAACGAAAGCCAGGGGAGCAAACGGG
rnacentral:rRNA from 1 species